rnacentral:rRNA from 1 species
CCUACGGGGGGCUGCAGUAGGGAAUAUUGGACAAUGGGUGCGAGCCUGAUCCAGCCAUGCCGCGUGCAGGAAGAAGGCGUUAUGCGUUGUAAACUGCUGUUGCCAGGGGAUAAAAUAACUGUGCGCAGUUGAUUGAAGGUACCUGGUGAAUAACCCACGGCUAACUACGUGCCAGCAGCCGCGGUAAUACGUAGGUGGCAAGCGUUGACCGGAUUUAAUGGGUUUAAAGGGUGCGUAGGAGGUCCGUUGAUAAAUAUCUCAGCUUAACUGAGAGGGUGCCAUUGAUACUGCGGGGCUUGAGUACAGAUGAGGUAGGCGGAAUUGACGGUGUAGCGGUGAAAUGCAUAGAUAUCGUCAAGAACACCGAUAGCGAAGGCAGCUUACCAAGCUGUAACUGACGCUGAGGCACGAAAGUGUGGGGAUCAAACAGGAUUAGAUACCCUUGUAGUC